ACCGUACUCGAACGAUACAUCGACCAAUUGGUCGUCAGCGCCGGCUAACAUUGCUUCCUGCGAAAUAAACAGCAACGAUGAAUAAUAACAGUGAAAACUAUGGAAAAAAAUACUAAUUUUUUUUCUUACGUCCGAUGCAUAUUAUAGUUUUACCGGACAUUGUCACGACGAGUGACUCGACAAAAACAAAUUAUCUCGGUCCAGUUUUACCAUCUGAGUGCUCUAUAUAUUCCUUCAACGGGUCCUUGCGAUUCAGCCAGGCGUUUAAAAGAAAUUAAAUCUGAGACGUUCGUUAAAAGCAAGAAAGUAUAGCGAAAAUUAAUACGUAAUGUAAUUGUUUUCUUUAGCGUUUAAACACACAUAUGUAUUAUAUUAUACAUACAUAUAUAUAAACACCGAUGCGAUGGCCUAUAAUAGAAAAUAAAUGGUGUGCAAAAUA